AUUCCAGCUCCAAUAGCGUAUAUUAAAGUUGUUGCAGUUAAAAAGCUCGUAGUUGGAUUUCGGAACCGGCCGAUUGGUCCGUCCUCUGGAUCGUGUACUGAUCGGUCUGUUCUUCUUCGCGAAGACCGCGUGUGCCCUUAACUGGGUGGGCGCGGGAUUCGCGACGUUUACUUUGAAAAAAUUAGAGUGUUCAAAGCAGGCAGUCGCUUGAAUAUCUCAGCAUGGAAUAAUAGAAUAGGACUUUGGUCUUAUUUUGUUGGUUUCCGAGACCGAAGUAAUGAUUGAUAGGGAUAGUUGGGGGUGCUAGUAUUCAGCGGCCAGAGGUGAGAUUCUUGGAUUCGCUGAAGACUAACUUAUGCGAAAGCAUUCACCAAGGAUGUCUUCAUUA
rnacentral:rRNA from 1 species